rnacentral:rRNA from 1 species
AGUGAACGCUGGCGGUAGGCCUAACACAUGCAAGUCGAACGGCAGCACAGUAAGAGCUUGCUCUUACGGGUGGCGAGUGGCGGACGGGUGAGGAAUACAUCGGAAUCUACUUUUUCUUGGGGGAUAACGUAGGGAAACUUACGCUAAUAGCUCAUACGACCUACGGGUGAAAUCAGGGGAUCUUCGGAGCUUUCGCGAUAGAAUGAGCCGAUGUCGGAUUAGCUAGUUGGCGGGGUAAAGGCCCACCAAGGCGACGAUCCGUAGCGGGUCUGAGAGGAUGAUCAGCCACACUGGAACUGAGACACGGUCCAGACUCCUACGGGAGGCAGCAGUGGGGAAUAUUGGACAAUGGGCGAAAGCCUGACCCAGCCAUGCCGCGUGGGUGAAGAAGGCCUUCGGGUUGUAAAGCCCUUUUAUUGGGAAAGAACAGCAGCAGGUUAAUACAUCGCUGUCUUGACGGUACCCAAUGAAUAAGCACCGGCUAACUUCGUG